AUGAGAAGAAGAAAGCUGUCUUCAAACAGACAUCAGAAGUCCUUAUCCGCAGUGCUUGGGAAAGGUGACUUGGAACUGAGAGCAAUAUCCCCUCUGGCCUUUCACCUCAUUCUUGAUGAGCACAGAUAGGGACCUCCUAGUUUUCUGCUUCUGCUAAGUUAUGGAGUCUUCCAUUAUUGCAAUGUCCUGAACCUGGCAUUCACCUGAAGUUCCUCCACAACAAUAAUCUCAUGACCCAUCUUGGAGUCCAGAGAUCUAGUAAUAUGCCAUCAUCAUCACAUCUCUAGUAGGCCCUGUGUAAUAUUUAUUGGGAAAAGACUGGGGAAAUGAAAAACUGGGGGAUAACAGAAGGUUUGUUGUGGGGUAUGGAGGAGUUGAGGGGAGAGAAGGAAUAUUGCUCGGUGAGACAAAGGAGAGAAAUGCUUCCUGCAGAGGAAGCAGCAGGGGUCUGAUAAGGACUGUUUGUCAUUGAAUGACUAAACUGAUGUUCAGCUCCCUCUAUGCCCAGAAAAGAUAGUCCACUUAUCUGACGGCGAAUUCAAAUAACAUAAAGUUCAAUAACCAGUUGAGGCUGGAGAGAUAUCAGGAAGGAGGGGCAAGGGAGGUCCCUAAAUAAGGUUGGAGUCUGUCUCAGCUUUUAGAGCUGAGGCCAGGCCUCACUGGCUGGAGGAGGGUUUCUCCCAAUCCUGUCCUCUGUGCUAAUUUUGUCAAAUUCAGAAUCUUAGCAGUAGACAGAAAGUAAACAAGAACAAUUCUAACCUUCAGAAGACUGUGUCUUCGGGCUGAACAGAGUAGAGGUGC
rnacentral:lncRNA from 1 species